UACGUAGGGUGCAAGCGUUGUUCGGAAUUACUGGGCGUAAAGCGCGCGCAGGCGGGCUUAUAAGUCGGUUGUGAAAUCCCAGGGCUCAACCUUGGAAUUGCAUUCGAAACUGGUAAGUCUUGAGUGCCUAAGAGGAUGGCGGAAUUGCCGGUGUAGUAGUGAAAUACGUAGAUAUCGGCAAGACACCUGAGGCGAAGGCGGCUAUCGUGGUGGUGCACUGACGCUGAGGCGCGAAAGCGU
rnacentral:rRNA from 1 species